UUAAACUGCACUGCUUUUACUAUUUAUUGCAGGCUAAUGAACUUUCUGCACAAUUUGUCAAGUACACAAGAAGUGAGUCAAAACAAGGAGAAGGUAAUGAAGGAAAAACAUGGUUUUGGCCACUAGUGAAGUGUGUGACUGUCAGGGUGCCAAACAAUCCUUUUCUCCAGCAUGUCACACUUGUGGACCUUCCUGGAAAUGGUGACUGUAACAAGAGCAGAGAUCAGAUGUGGAAAGGGAUAGUUGGAGAUUGUUCUACUGUGUGGAUUGUGACUGACAUUAAUCGAGCAGCAUCAGAGAAAGAGGCCUGGGAGAUCCUGGAAAGUGUCAGUAGUCUGAUUGGAAAUGGUGGCGAAUGUCAGCAAAUUCACUUUAUCUGCACCAAGUCUGAUCUUCUUGAUGAUUCAGAUGAUCUUUCAUCAGCUGAUAUCCAUGAUCGAAUAGUUAAAAGAAACAUUCAAGCCAAGA